ensembl:lncRNA
GGAGCAUUACGAUGAGCCUCCAGUCAGCUCUGUCGUGUUCAAACAAAUGUUCUGAAUUACUGUUUUUCACCUGAUUUCACAAUCAGCUCUUUGCAACCCACUACACUGUCACUAGCAAUCUGACUGAAGGCAAAAAAUUUCUUUAAUGUCUAAAUCGGUUUAUUCUGGAUAAUCUCAACACCUUUCAGCAGCAGUAGUAUUUAAAUACAGCUGAAGAAGAACAAAAUAGCGUGUCUGAAUUUUACAAAAGCUUUGUGUAUCUGUUAUUUUCUUUCUUCCUGGAAUCUUAUAAGUACUAUGUGUGGCAUUUGCACUUUUUUUUGCCAUGUCUUGCUUAAAAUUUUGCCUUCUCGAGUGUAAAGGUUAGCAUACUUUAAGACUGAUAGUCUUUGACAUAGGAAAGUGAUGGUGUUUAAAAAGUUACAAAACUAUACAUAAACACUGAGUUUAAAAUCUUGGGUCAAGGAAGCUUAGUAAUGUAUCUAUCAAGUACACCUCUAUUGUCCUGAUGCUGUUGAUAGAGAGUAUAAAUCCAUGUCUUUUGGAAUAUAAUAGGAAUGAAAUGACGAUGGAAAGCAUCCUUACUUGCAGCUUGAAGUUCAUUUCCAGCCACCACUUCAUAUAUACUCUUUCUUUCCUUUUCAAUGAUCCCCUCCUUCUUCCCAGUUUUCAAAGAAAGGAAUAUCACAGGUUGUGGAUGAAUUGCCUGGAGGCAUUCAAGGCCAGGCUGGAUGUGGCUCUGGGCAGCCUGGUCUGGUGGUUGGUGACCCUGCCCAUGGCAGAGGGGUUGAAACUAGAUGAUCAUUGUGGUCCUUUUCAACCCAGGCCAUUCUAUGAUCAGGGAGAUGGGAUUAGGGAAGACAAGUUGCCUAUGUCCAUUCUUCAUCCAAUUAUUUUCAAUUAUUUUUUUAAUCCUUUUUUCUACAAAAGUGGAAACCUUUACCAGAGCACUAUCUAGGCAAAAUCUUCCCAUGUAUAUAUAUGUUGGGAUAAAAUGCAGUGUUUCAACUGUGUUUUUUCUACGAGCACGCUAAAUAAAGAUGAAUAAAGAUUCAUAGCAUCUCUGUUUAAGUAUUAGUGCUUUGAAUACCUGGUACAUUUAAAGCUGAAUAAAUAAAAAAUUAAGAAGUCCUUAUAUUUUCCAGCUUGUGUCUUGUGAUCCGGCUUGGUAUGCGAGCUGUUCACCAGCAGAGGGCAUUGUGCACCUCGGGGAAACGCAGAUUGCAAAAGCAGUCGCAAGAGAAGGGAAAAAUUCUGACCUUCUGAAGGCAUUGCAAAUUUUAGGAAGUUAAGCAGAAGCUUAAUACAAACUGAAAUUUCCAAUCACAGGAUCUGACGUAUUUCCCAAUGUCAUCUCUCAUCUCUGUAGCUCCUGCACUAGGAAAAACAGAGUGCUCCAAACAUGACUGCUUCAGAGGACCUGAGAAUACUGACACCAGCCUAGCAGAGGACUCCAUGAAAAGUGAAAAAAACAUCCUGCAGUCUCUCAUCCAGAUGUAUCAUUUUGGCACGUCGAAGAUGAAGAGACACUAUAGCUUGCAAAAUUAGAUCUCACCAGUCUUACAGGUAAGAUCUAUCAAGUUUCAUCUGCAAAUGUGGCACCCUACAAAUGUGACUAAACUACUUCCAGAGCCAGGUCACACAAGAAAGCAGCAUAGCUGCAUUCCUGCUUCAGAGGACCACAUCAACAGCCUACAGAGCCAGGUUGAUGUUUUCCAUUGCGUGUAACUGGAGGUUACAAUGUGCCAUGCGACUAAGCAGUCAGACAACUUCAUUAUAGCCUUACUUACUGUCAGCAGGUUGAUGCUGUUUAUGCAGGUGAACGGGCUCAACGUGGCUUUGGCACUUCAUGAGAGCUUCCUGGGAACUGGAGCACUACUUACUAUAUAUCACUGGAAACAGCAUGGUAGCUGUUGGGAUAUAUACAAGAGCAACAAAAGGGACGUUGCAAUAUCUAGGAGAAAAGAAUUAACACCUGAUACAUUUUAAAAGUACAGUGAGCAGGCCAAACAUUUAAGGUAAAAUAACCGUUUUCCAGAAGUGAUUUCAUUACUUUUCCUUCUGUGUUAUUUGUAAUUUUCUCAACAGUGCAGUAUUUUUAACUUUGAGACAAUAUAUUAAUGUGGGGAUAUUGUCAGUGUAGCUAAUCUUUUCUUUUAGGAACAUCUUAAAAAUUAGCAUAUCUAUCUAAACUGCUAAAAGAGAGAUUACCCCAUCGUUAACUACACACACAUGUUAACGAGAGAGGUGGGAUCGAGACCUCAUGACAACUGCAGACCUCUCUCUACGCACUUAGGCAUAGUGUACCCAUAGCGUAUAAGGGAUGUACCUUUGUUCUGUUGGGGUGCACAUUAAAAAGGAAAUAUCCCCUGGGCAUCCGGGGCCGUAUUAGAGAAUGCCUGCUUCUUAAUACCCACAUUUGUCUUAAGGAGUUUUAUUUGGGUCGAGGUUUGUCUGGCAACAGGUAGACCAAAUGUUUGAGACAGGAGAAAGAUACUGCAGUUCGUCUGCAUUUCAGAGCACUCUUCCUGAGACAGGCUAUGCCGGUGACAACACAUGAUACUGUCUGAGGUAUGUGCUCACUGUAUCUUCUUCCCAGAAAUAAUACAUACUUUAGAGAACAGAGGACAAUAUCUGAGAAGUGUAACUGCUACUUAUACAGCAAAUGCUCUGUAUGCUACACAACUGUAAAAUGAUCAAUCAAGGCUUGUCAAAAAUGAAAAUCCACAAAAAUAAUAAAAAAAAGGCCAUGAAAUGAAAUAAAAGGGGAAAAAAUAAGAGCUGAAUGCACAUACUCUAUUAAAGCAUGAAUAUCAGGAUAAGGCAUAUGAAAAGAGACGUAGGAGAGCAACUGUAGUUUUAAAACACUUGAUAAUUAAAGAUGAAACAAAAAGUAGAAUAAGAUUAGAUUGAAGGAAGGAAGUCUAGCAAGGUUGUGGAAACUUGAGAAAAAAUAGUUACAUGUAGAACAAAUAAGAAACAGGAUGUUGUACUUCAUAAAGUUACACAAAGUUAAAAGAUUUAAACAUAAAAAAUAUAACAGCUUUCAGUGUAAUUUAUGGUAUAAAGACACUUCUUAUUUUGUGGAGUAAAAGCAAGCAACUUCUGAUCUUCAGAUCAAUCUAAAUAGAUAUUUAAUUGUUUAGAUUUCAAGGUCUCAAUCAAUUACUUCUUCCAACAGUAAAUAUCCAUAGUUAAAAUGCUUUGGGAUGUUUCUAUCUUUGUACUCUGUCUUUUUCUCUCAUCUCGAAGAAAAGCUCAAAGAAUAUAAAUAUAAGGAAUAAUUUUUUUACAGUGAGGGUGGUGAGGUAUUGAAAUACGUUGCCCAGUGUUGUGGUUCAUGUCCUGAUCCUGGAGACUUUCAAGGCAAGGCUGGACUGGGCCCCAGGCAACCUGAUCUAGCUGUGGUUGUCCCUGUUAGUUGCAGGGGAGUUAGACUAGAUGGUCUUUAGAGGUGCCUUCCAACUCUAAGGAUUCUAUUAUUCUAAAAGCUAAUGCAAAUGUAAAAGCUAGAAUGAAAAAUCAGUCUUUCAAAAUGAUAAUGAUUUGUAAGCUUUCAACAUUGUCUAAAAAUCUGUGUAAAAUGCAUGCACCAUAAUGUGAAAUAAACAAAUGAAAACAUAGCUUAGAUGUA